AUUGAACGCUGGCGGCAGGCCUAACACAUGCAAGUCGAACGAGUGGCGGACGGGUGAGUAAUGUCUGGGAAACUGCCCGAUGGAGGGGGAUAACUACUGGAAACGGUAGCUAAUACCGCAUACCAUCGGAUGUGUCCAGAUGGGAUUAGCUGGUCGGUGGGGUAACGGCUCACCUAGGCGACGAUCUCUAGCUGGUCUGAGAGGAUGACCAGCAACACUGGAACUAGGAUACGGACCAGACUCCGACGGGAGGCAUCAGUGGGGAAUAUUACGCAGUGGGCACAAGCCUAGAGCAGCCAUGCCGCGUAUAUGAAGAGGACCUACGGGGUGUAAAUUACUUUCAGCGAGGAAGCGUUACUCGCAGAAGAAGCACCGGCUAACUCCGUGCCAGCAGCCGCGGUAAUUC
rnacentral:rRNA from 1 species